CCUACGGGAGGCAGCAGUGAGGAAUAUUGGUCAAUGGCCGCAGGGCUGAACCAGCCAAGUCGCGUGAGGGAUGACGGUCCUAUGGAUUGUAAACCUCUUUUGUCAGGGAGCAAAGGGCGCCACGUGAGGCGCUUUGCGAGUACCUGAAGAAAAAGCAUCGGCUAACUCCGUGCCAGCAGCCGCGGAAAUACGGAGGAUGCGAGCGUUAUCCGGAUUUAUUGGGUUUAAUGGGUGUUCAGUCGGAAUGUCCAGUCAGUGGUAAAAUUUCGGGGCUCAACCCCGUCGUGUCGUUGAGACUGGCGUUCUUGAGUGAGCGAGAAGUAUGCGGAAUGCGUGGUGUAGCGGUGAAAUGCAUAGAUAUCACGAAGAACUCCGAUUGCGAAGGCAGCAUACCGGCGCUCAACUGACGCUCAUGCACGAAAGCGUGGGUAUCGAACAGGAUUAGAUACCCUUGUAGUC
rnacentral:rRNA from 1 species